AUUGAACGCUGGCGGCAGGCCUAACACAUGCAAGUCGAACGAGUGGCGGACGGGUGAGUAACGUCUGGGAAACUGCCUGAUGGAGGGGGAUAACUACUGGAAACGGUAGCUAAUACCGCAUACCAUCGGAUGUGCCCAGCUCGGAUUAGCGAGUCGGUGGGGUAAAGGCUCGCCAAGGCGAUGAUCCCUAGCGGGUCUGAGAGGGUGACCAGCCACACUGGAACUGAGACACGGUCCAGACGCUACCGGGAGGCAGCAGUGGGGAAUAUUGGACAAUGGGCGCAAGCCUGAUGCAGCCAUGCCGCGUGUAUGAAGAGGUCCGUCGGGUUGUAAAGUACUUUCAGCGGGGAGGCGUUACCCGCAGAAGAAGCACCGGCUAACUCCGUGCCAGCAGCCGCGGUAAUAC
rnacentral:rRNA from 1 species